CACAAGCGGUGGAGUAUUGUUUGUUUAAUUGAAGAUACACGAAGAACCUUUACCAGGUCUUGACAUACCAUUGACAGGCACAGAGAUGUGCUCUCCUUCGGGCAAGUUGGAUACAGGUGGUGCAUGGUUGUCGUCAGCUCGUGCCGUGAGGUUGUUGGGUUAAGUCCCGCAACGAGCGCAACCCUCAUUGUUAGUUACUACCAUUCAGUUGAGGACUCUAAUGAGACUGCCAACGACAAGUUGGAGGAAGGUGGGGAUGACGUCAAAUCAUCAUGCCCUUUAUGACCUGGGCUACAAACGUACUACAAUGGCCAAUACAAAGAGAUGCGAAGCGGUGACGUGAAGCGAACCUCAGAAAGUUGGUCUCAGUUCAGAUUGAAGUCUGCAACUCGACUUCAUGAAGGCGGAAUCGCUAGUAAUCGCGGGUCAGCAGACCGCGGUGAAUACGUUCCCGGGUUU
rnacentral:rRNA from 1 species